GCUUUCGUGGUGUAAAGGCCAGCACACUCGGCGUGUAUUCGAGAGGUCCGAGGUUCGACUCUCGGCGAGGGCA
rfam:Stegodyphus mimosarum contig1830, whole genome shotgun sequence.